rnacentral:rRNA from 1 species
UACGGAGGGAGCUAGCGUUGUCCGGAUUUAUUGGGCGUAAAGAGCGUGUAGGCGGCCAGGUAGGUCCGGUGUGAAAACUCGAGGCUUAACCUCGAGAUGUCAUCGGAAACCAUCUGGCUAGAGUCCGGAAGAGGAAAGUGGAAUUCCUGGUGUAGCGGUGAAAUGCGCAGAUAUCAGGAAGAACACCAAUGGCGAAAGCAGCUUUCUGGGACGGUACUGACGCUGAGACGCGAAAGCGUGGGGAGCGAACAGG